UCGAGAAUUUUUCACAAUGGGGGAAACCCUGAUGGAGCGACGCCGCGUGGGGGAUGAAUGGCUUCGGCCCGUAAACCCCUGUCAUUCGCGAUCAAUGCGUGUUGUUUAAGAGAUGACAUGUUGAUAGUAGCGGAAGAGGAAGGGACGGCUAACUCUGUGCCAGCAGCCGCGGUAAUACAGAGGUCCCGAGCGUUGUUCGGAUUCACUGGGCGUAAAGGGUGCGUAGGUGGUGAGGUAAGUCGGAUGUGAAAGCUCGGAGCUCAACUCCGAAAUGGCAUUGGAAACUACCUUGCUAGAGGAUUGGAAGGGGGACUGGAAUGCUUGGUGUAGCAGUGAAAUGCGUAGAUAUCAAGCGGAACACCAGUGGCGAAGGCGAGUCCCUGGACAACACCUGACACUGAGGCACGAAAGCUAGGGGAGCAAACAGG
rnacentral:rRNA from 1 species